ACUUAAAUAGCUUAUAUAGAGCAUAAUAUUGAAGAUAUUAAGGAAAUUACAUAAUUUUUAAGUA
rnacentral:tRNA from 1 species